CACGUAGGGUGCAAGCGUUGUCCGGAUUCAUUGGGCGUAAAGGGCUAGUAGGCGGCUUAGCAAGUCGGGUGGGAAAACUUCAGGCUCAACCUGGAGCGGCCAUCCGAUACUGCUAUGGCUAGAGUCCGGUAGGGGACCACGGAAUUCCUGGUGUAGCGGUGAAAUGCGCAGAUAUCAGGAGGAACACCGGUGGCGAAGGCGGAUCUCUGGGCCUUACCUGACGCUCAGGCGCGAAAGCUAGGGGAGCGAACAGG
rnacentral:rRNA from 1 species